UGUCUAGUGGUGUAAUGGCAGCACAGCGGAUUUUGGUUCCGUAAGUUGAGGUUCGAAUCCUUAUUAGACAG
rnacentral:tRNA from 1 species